rnacentral:rRNA from 1 species
CAGCCGCCGCGGUAAGACGUAGGUGGCAAGCGUUGUCCGGAAUUAUUGGGCGUAAAGGGCUCGCAGGCGGUUUCUUAAGUCUGAUGUGAAAGCCCCCGGCUCAACCGGGGAGGGUCAUUGGAAACUGGGAAACUUGAGUGCAGAAGAGGAGAGUGGAAUUCCACGUGUAGCGGUGAAAUGCGUAGAGAUGUGGAGGAACACCAGUGGCGAAGGCGACUCUCUGGUCUGUAACUGACGCUGAGGAGCGAAAGCGUGGGGAGCGAACAGGAUUAGAUACCCCUGUAGUCCCUGUCUCUUAUAC